rnacentral:rRNA from 1 species
GAUGAACGCUGGCGGCGUGUUUAAGGCAUGCAAGUCGUGGGAUCGGCCUUUUUUUUCUUCGGAAUUUUGAGGUACGGACCGGCAAACGGGUGAGUAACACAUUGGUAACCUACCUUCAAGACGGGGGAUAGCCCGGCGAAAGCCGGAUUAAUACCCGAUAGUCAUAGAAGAACUUAUGUUUUUCUAUGUAAAUCCUUUUGGGCUUGAAGAGGGGCCUAUGUCUGAUUAGUUAGUUGGUGAGGUAAUAGCUUACCAAGACCGUGAUCAGUAGCAGGCGUGAGAGCGUGACCUGCCUCACUGGGACUGAGACACUGCCCAGACUCCUACGGGAGGCUGCAGUCAAGAAUAUUCGACAAUGGGCGAAAGCCUGAUCGAGCGACGCCGCGUGCAGGAAGAAGCCCCUCGGGGUGUAAACUGCUUUUCUCAGGGAAGAAUUUUGGACGGUACCUGAGGAAUAAGAGGUUGCUAACUCUGUGCCAGCAGCCCGCGGUAAACUACUCGUA